AUGUCUUUGCCAACUGUCCAGCUGAGCUCUCUGUACCCUGUUUUGGAUCUCUCUUGUCUUGAAACAGAGUUCACUUGGUCGGAGAUUGUUGCUGCCAUUAAUCAUUCCCCAAACAACCGAAGCCCUGGCCCAGAUGGUUUCACAAACGAGUUCUUCAAGCAGUUCCACUCCACUCUUCGGCCUGACCUGGAGCUCUUCUUCUCCGAGCUGUAUCACAAUCGUGUGGACCUGCUCGGGUCCAACACGGCCUUUGUUUCCCUCCUUCCUAAGAAGAGUACGCCGUUGGAGCUGACAGAUUUCAGGCCUAUAUCCGUUGUGCACAGCAUACCAAAACUGGCCAGCAAGGUUCUUGCUCGGAGACUGCAGUGUCAGAUACCACAUCUUAUCCACUCUCUUUAG
rnacentral:rRNA from 1 species